GACAGAAGCCCGUCUAGCUCAGUUGGUAGAGCGCAAGGCUCUUAACCUUGUGGUCGUGGGUUCGAGCCCCACGGUGGGCGCCUUUUUAGUUUUUAAGAUAUCAGCUUAUCGAUUGAGAUUUUAACUGAUUAGCUAUGCAGUUUUGAGGUGCUGACCAUGAAAACUUCAACUCUUGAAUAGCACAAAAGCCUGUCUAGCUCAGUUGGUAGAGCGCAAGGCUCUUAACCUUGUGGUCGUGGCUUCGAGCCCCAUGGUGGGCGCC
rnacentral:tRNA from 1 species